CGCCCCGGGGACAAGCGCGCACCUGACACUUCCUGCUCGCCGGGGGCUCGCUCGAGGUCGCCGGGGCUCGCUGGAGCUCAAUGGAGCUCGCCGGAGACGAGGGAACUGAGUCCCAAAGAAGUGAAGCAACACCAUGCUGCUGCUCCAUCUGGAUGGUAGAUGACAUCAGAAGAAAGAAGUUCUUCCAAAGUUUUCUGUUUCACGUUUUAAGAUAUGUUAAAAGGAUGAUCUGAGUUGCCUUUACUUGCAAACUUGGAGAAUCAGUGAGGAUAAGGGAAUGAAAGCACAGGCCUGACCAUAAGCAGGACCUGGGUUCUAAUGCUGACCUCACCACUUGUCUACUGUGUGAUCUGGGCAAGUUACUUCACUUCUCUGGGCCUGAGAGACCUCUUCUGUAUAAAGGAAAUUAAAACUGUAAGCCUGCGA